UGCCAGCCGCCGCGGUAAUACGGAGGGGGCUAGCGUUGCUCGGAAUUACUGGGCGUAAAGCGCACGUAGGCGGACUAUUAAGUCAGGGGUGAAAUCCCGGGGCUCAACCCCGGAACUGCCUCUGAUACUGGUAGUCUUGAGUUCGAGAGAGGUGAGUGGAAUUCCUAGUGUAGAGGUGAAAUUCAUAGAUAUUAGGAAGAACACCAGUGGCGAAGACGGCUCACUGGUCCGAUACUGACGCUGAGGUGCGAAAGCGUGGGGAGCGAACAGGAUUAGAUA
rnacentral:rRNA from 1 species